CUUGACGGAGCCGAGCCACAGCGGCCGGUCGGUUUCCCGGCCCUGCCCGUAGGUGGCCAGGAGCGCCUGGGCCUC
rnacentral:antisense_RNA from 2 species